CCUACGGGUGGCAGCAGUGGGGAAUAUUGGGCAAUGGAGGCAACUCUGACCCAGCAACGCCGCGUGAAUGAUGAAGGUCUUCGGAUUGGAAAGUUCUGUGAUGGGGGAUGAACACAAUGACGGUACCCCAAUAGCAAGCCACGGCUAACUACGUGCCAGGAGCCGCGGUAAGACGGAGGUGGCAAGAGUUAUCCGGAAUGACUGGGCGUAAAGGGUGCGUAGGUGGUUUAGUAAGGUGGCUGGGAAAUUCCGGGGCUCAACCUCGGCGCUACCGCCAAAACUAGUAGACUAGAGUGCAGGAGGAGUAAGUGGAAUGCCUAGUGUAGCGGUGGAAUGCGUAGAUAUUAGGAGGAACAUCAGGGGCGAAGGCGACUUACUGGACUGUAACUGACACUGAGGCACGAAAGCGUGGGGAGCAAACAGGAUUAGAUACCCGAGUAGUC
rnacentral:rRNA from 1 species